GAACAACAAAAACAAAAACAACAACAAAAGAGCAUUAGUAGCUUCAGCAGAAAUAGCGUAAAUAAUUAUCUAAGCAUAAGAACCAUAAAUAAAAUAGCAAUGCAAUAAUAUCAAACAGUCACUACCAUAAAUAACUACCAUAAGGGAGACACAAUCCAAUGCACAAUUCAUCCAUGGUUAAGAUCAAGACUCGUCUCAAAAACUAAACCAGUACAUAAAUCAAACUCUUUCGAUUUCAAUUGAAAAUCCUCCAACAGUAUACCAAAUCAUUAUAGCACAUGAUUGAUCUAAUAAUGACAACUUAGCACAUUUAGAACACAUCCGCCAUUGACUCGAAACAGGCAAUUUUUAUAAUCGGAUUCCACUUUGCAUGAGGAGCAAAGAAAAUCGAAGAACAAGAAAUUCGUAUCCACUCUAACCAUGCCCGAAUAUCCGGAUGUAACUCCACAACUAGGUUGACCUCUCCUGCCCCGGAAAUUUAAAGAUCACAAACAUAUACAUAAUCCGACUUAGUGAACAGUCACUGGUUUCAGCCGAACUUCAGAUUUUUUAUUGAAAGCCGGCCAUAUCGGAGUUUGAAGGACACUCUAUAUGCGGAUACACAACUUGACAUAGUCAAAUAUGAACAUGGGAUUUAACCAAUGCACUCCUAAGAAUCUUUCCGAAUUAACAUAGAUGAAACAGAACGGUUCGUUUAGACUCAGAUCCCAUGAUCAUUCAGAUUGCCUGGAUGUGAACAUCAACUUAGCAUUGAAACAUAAUCACCACUUGAGUACCCUAAGAGAUCCAGCAAACUGUUUGUAACAAAUUGAAGACAUGUUUUAGAACUUUAAUGAACUUUAACUGGGCAAUCAUCAAACAAAGAAACUGAUGGAGGAAUUCAGUAACAUCAAGCCAACAACUAUCAAGGUUCGAUUAACCAAAUAGAUCUAAAGAAGCUAAAAUUCUAACAAAUGAUAGAGUUUGAACCAAUCACAACAUCAUAUGACAAGCAAAUAAACUACAAGAUUGCCCGCAACUAAUACACAACCCGAUGCUAUACUAUCACAACUUACUUCUAUGAACAUCCGAUCGAAACUUAACUCCUCAAAUCCCAGGCUCCUAUUACAAUUCAAUCAUACCAUAAUAGAACAAACGAGUAAGGAAAUGAACCUGAAUGUUGAAGGUUUUUGAUUGGGUCUGUUUGUAAGUGAUUACACGCUAAACUUUUCGAUGAAGUUUUGAAAUGAAGAAGCGACACAAGAACAGGUAGACAGGAAACGAACCAGAAAUCAAAAAUUCGAACGGCAAACUCGAUUUCAGCUCAACCAAUCUCCAUGUCGAAACAUCAAAGAUAAAAAAAUGUGGAAUCCGGAAUUGAAGGAAGAAAGCCGAAAAUCAAAGAGCAAGUAAACUAAAUAUUUUUGUUUCGUUUUCUGAUUUUUGAAAUGGAAAAAAAAACAAAACUGUAACCUAAAUAUUCUAGUUAUUUUUAUUGUAUUACUCUUCUUAAUGAAAAAAUUAGAAAUAAGAGAAGAAUCACCUCUAGAACCCUAGAACACUCUCUUUUUCUCGAAAUUUUCCUCUCUCAAAUCUGAAAUACAACCCCAAUAUGUAUGGGGUCUCGAACCUUCUAUUUUUUCCCCAAGAAACUCCUAAAAUCCUAAAGAAAAAUCCAAAAGUCUUCAAAAAUUCCAAAAAUUAUACCCAAAAAAACAAAGCCCUCUGAUUUUCUUUGGUGAAUGAUUUUGGGAGAAAUGUAAAGCCAAGAUUAAUUUAUAAUCAAUCCCCGGCUCCCAUUAAUCCAAAAAUUAAUCUCAAGGCCGCGUGAAAGGGGACGAGAACGUUCUCAUUAUCAGAGAUCGUUGUAUAUUCGGGUGAUGCGGAAGGAAUAUAAGAGGGGGGACCACGAGGGGACCAUGACUUACGUGGACUGCAGGGUGAUUUUCGGCGAGUUUGGGGUAAGUGAACGAAGAAAGUUGUGCCGUGAGAGGGAAGGGAUU
rnacentral:lncRNA from 1 species